UAGAAAGUAAUAUAAAGGAAGUAUGAAGGGCUUUGAUCUCUUUCGUGUAGGUUCGAUUCCUACUUUUCUAA
rnacentral:tRNA from 1 species